GACGAACGCUGGCGGCGUGCUUAACACAUGCAAGUCGAACGGAAAGGCCCUGCUUUUGUGGGGUGCUCGAGUGGCGAACGGGUGAGUAACACGUGAGUAACCUGCCCUUGACUUUGGGAUAACCUCAGGAAACUGGGGCUAAUACCGGAUAGGAGCUCCUGCUGCAUGGUGGGGGUUGGAAAGUUUCGGCGGUUGGGGAUGGACUCGCGGCUUAUCAGCUUGUUGGUGGGGUAGUGGCUUACCAAGGCUUUGACGGGUAGCCGGCCUGAGAGGGUGACCGGCCACAUUGGGACUGAGAUACGGCCCAGACUCCUACGGGAGGCAGCAGCGGGGAAUAUUGCACAAUGGGCGGAAGCCUGAUGCAGCAACGCCGCGUGCGGGAUGACGGCCUUCGGGUUGUAAACCGCUUUCGCCUGUGACGAAGCGUGAGUGACGGUAAUGGGUAAAGAAGCACCGGCUAACUACGUG
rnacentral:rRNA from 1 species